AACAAAUCUUAUUUAUCAGCUCUUUCAUGGUCAUUUUGUCCCACUUUUCAGCAUGUGGAGCAUCCCAUGGUGCUUCAGGAGGAAUCUCUUUUCCCAUCUUGUCCAUGGUCCUCCAGAAGUUAUUGUAAUCCAGAUACACGAAGGGAUUCCAUGUUGGAGGGUUAAGACUCAUGAAUUGACGUGACUUUCCCCACUUGUAAUGGACGAAAUAGCCAUCUACAUUCACUUUAUAGGUCUCAAUGCCCAGCUCUUUUGCCAGCCGGAGAAUACGAUUUUGUGUAGGUCCCACAUAUGCUCCACCAACAUCUACGUAAUUAACUUGCUUGUUCCUGAUGGUGAAUGUCCUUCCUCCAACUCUGUCCCGGGCCUCAAGCACCACCACAUUGAGCCCAUACUCAUACAGCAACUUGGCAGCCGACAAG
rnacentral:lncRNA from 1 species